UUAGUGCGUUCACAUACCUUGAGCUAGACACAGCAUGCUGAUUGGUGCAUUUACAAUCCUCCAGCUAGACGUAGUAAGUUCUCCAAGUACCCACCGGACUCAGGAGCCCAGCUGGCUUUGCCUAGUGCAUCCCGGCCGCGGGCGGAGCUGCCCGCCAGUCUCUGGCGCGCUGCCGCACUCCUCAGCCGUUGGGCGGUUGACGGGACCGGGUGCCGCGUAGCAGGAGGUGGCGCCCGUCCCCUCGGGGUGGCGCGCGGGAGCCUGCGGUUGGGGGGCGGGGGGCGGGGGGCAGGGGACGGGGGCGGGGAGGAGGGUGAGGGCUCCAGCAUGGCAGGCUGCAGGUCCCGAGCCCUGCCCCCUUGCCCCGCGGGGAGGUGGCUGAGGCCCAGCGAAAAUUCGAGCGCGGCGCCGGCGGGCCAUCACUGUUGGAGGACCCAGUGCACCCUCCGCAGCUGCUGGCCCGGGUGCUAAGCCUCUCACUGCCCAGGGCCGGCGGCGCCAGCCGACCGCUCAAGAGUGCGGGGCGCGCCGAGCCCGCGCCCACCCGGAAGUCGCGCUGAGCCCGCGCCCACCCGGAAGUCGCGCUGGACCUGCGAGCACCGCAGGCAGCCCAGGUUCCGGCCCGCGCCUCUCCCUCCACACCUCCCCGCCAGCAGAGGGAGCCCGCUCAGGCCUCAGCCAGCACAGAGAGGGGCUCCCACGGUGCAGCUGCGGGCUGAAGGGCUCCUCAAGCGCGGCCAGAGUGGGCUGAGGCCGAGGAGGCGCCGAGAGCCAGCGAGGGAUGCCAGCAAGCUGUCACCUCUCAGAAAUACAGGAAGAACAUCAAUAAUGUUCGAAGUUAUAAAGUAGUAGGUUUCUAUCAAGAGUAAAACAUAAACGAAGUUAUAAAGUAGUAGGUUUCUAUCAAGAAUAAAACAUAAACGAUCAAAGAAUUCCUUAUAAAAACAUUUUUUAUUUCUAGGAAUCAAAACAUAAAUAUAAAAUUUGAGAGUCCACCAAAAAAAAUUAGAUGCCAGAUUUCACUAUAAUUAUCAGGGAAGCGCCCAAAUGGGUUGUUUACGGCGCCUCGGGGAAACUUUCUGUUUCGUGUUAAGGGUCUUGAACCAUGAUGUUUAGAAAACCAUGGGCUGAUGCUUUCAGAACCUCUGUGAUUUUUGCCUCUGACACUGCAUCCAAUAGACUAGCAUGUUGAUUAGGGAAAGCUAAAUUCAAUAAAAGACGACUGUAAGUGGGGUCACCACCUUGAGGGGUCAUGUUAGAAAAGUAGAUGAUAAGGUGGUAUUGAUAGAGUAUUGAAGUCUGGGCUCAAAUGGUUGCCCGGGGCCUUUCAAGACCAAUGACUGAUAAGAAUAGGUAAUGUUCAGGACAUAGAGUUUAGGAUUGGGGGACACUGUGAGUUAAGGGCCAUGACAGAAGUCUUCAUAAGUAAACUGUUAAUUGACACAAGCUGCUACCUGCCCAGGUGAGCAAUCUGUUGGCCCAGAGGAGAGUUGCUUACUGACAUAAAUUGAUUUGCAGAAAUUUCCUGAAGCAAACAAUAAGUUAUUUAUUGGUUUGCAGCCUUACUUUCCUGAAAAAUAAUUUUCUGGAAUGAAUUGUGAAAUCAUGUUGACACAGAUGGCCUCAGGUUUCAGUUCGGAUAAUUAAGCUGUGUAAAUAUAGAAAGUCGAAGGUUUCUGGGUGCUGUUGAUUCACAGUAUGCAACAAUGAUCAUAUUACUUUUAUUUACUAUGAGCUUCAGCUGAAAAUCCAAAAGAAACUUUAAUUUCAGAUAUUUAAUGAAAUCAUUAUAGCUGUGGUAAUUUCCUUUAGCUGGGUGUGAGUGUGUGAUGUGAGCGUGUGAUGUGUGUGUGUGUGUGUGUGUGUGUGUGUGUGUGUACUCUGGCAGCAUAUUCCAAAUAAUUUCUGUAAAAUUUCAGUUUGAAAUUAAUAGAAGACAUAUUAAAUUGUUUAAACUCUUUGUUAUUUAAAUUCUAUAUUACUUUAGUCGAUUACUCUGUAUUAUUACGGCAAAGCUUUGAUAUGUUGCCCUGAAUUUAAAUGAAAAGGCUGUUCGGCCUAAAAACAGGAAUAUUUUAUUACCAAAAAGAAUUAACUACCAUAUGUCAUUUACAGAAAAGAGUAAAUUCUUCAGGGCAUAGAAAAUACACAUUUCCUUCUGUUUGUGUGGAAAUAAGCAAAAUACCUGUUAUAAUAGAUUCCUCACAGAAUUUUGUGAAGCUUCAGGUAAACUUGAAAGAGAAAAAUUAAAAUGCUAGAGUUUCAUAAUUACAAAUUGGGAUAUAAAAAUAGAAUAAUUAUUUGAAUUUUGUAUUUCUCUCCAGGGGAUCAAAAGUAAUAUAUAAACUUUUAAUAAAUAUUGAUAUAGCUUCACGUUGACUCCAUAUGUGAGCAAUUUGCUUUCUGUUAAAUUCACAAUUGCAUAAUUUUUUUCAGGCUGGAAUGCACUUGGAUGCCAGAGAUUUUGAUUUCUUCAUGUGACAUAAGUUGCGGAGGUCAGAGGUCAGAAAACAAGGUGUCUGCAGGACCAACCUCUCCUCUGGAUGCUCUAGGAAACGAGUAGAAUUAAGUGAAUUGAUUAUCAUAUCUAACCUAUGUAUUGUGCUUCAAGUGUGCUUGUACCAGCUUUUUCUGUUUAGAAAUGCUUGAGUGUCUCCAUUGUCAAAACGAUCAGAAGGCAGUAAUUGUAUUUCCAAUGUGAGGACAAACAAUACUAGAUA